UACGUAGGGGGCAAGCGUUGUCCGGAUUUAUUGGGCGUAAAGAGCGUGUAGGCGGCCAGGUAGGUCUGCUGUGAAAACUCGAGGCUCAACCUCGAGACGUCGGCGGAAACCAUCUGGCUAGAGUCCGGAAGAGGCGAGUGGAAUUCCCGGUGUAGCGGUGAAAUGCGCAGAUAUCGGGAAGAACACCCGUGGCGAAGGCGGUUCUCUGGGACGGUACUGACGCUGAGACGCGAAAGCGUGGGGAGCGAACAGG
rnacentral:rRNA from 1 species